UUUCUAUUUCAGACCUAGCGUUUGUCUGACACCGCUAUCAACGAGACGGCAGCGAGAAACGAGAUUAUUUUGGAC